AUUUCACAGUUUGUGUUUUGCAUAAAUUAGCUGCAUAAAUCAGGCUUCAAAUUAAUUAAAUAAGUCAUUGUAAAUUUUAAAUGUAUGUAAAUUUGAUAUCUUAACUGUUUUUAUAUUUAUUUUGAUAGUAUCUGUAUCUGGAUGUGUUUCUGUAUGUGGUUAAGUGAUUUAAAAAAUGUUGAAAACAUAAAAGGUUCAUUCAGUAGUUCAGUGCAGUUGGAAGCAAAAUGGCGCCAUGUUCUGAGUUGAUGCCACUCUCAAUUAAGCCACACUACUCCAGACCACAGUGGUGCAUGCUGUGAAAACCCUAACACAUUAUCAAUAAGCAAACCGCUCCAAAAGUGCUAAAAAAAAAAAAAUGUGGCUCUCACACUGACAGACUGGUGCAUCGUUGACUUGGAGAUGACUGUCCACUUUUACACAUGC